ACAAAUCAAGGAUUGUGUGUGGGUUCUGCAUAUGUUGUGUAUGCAGUUCUCAUGCAUGAUACACAUUUGUGCUCCAAGUUCGUCUUGGGUGCAUCAAAAAAUAUUCAUGAUAUUAUUGUAUUAGUGUGUUUUGUAAAACAAGAAAAUCUAUAA
rnacentral:misc_RNA from 1 species